CAAAGCGUGAAACUGAAUCGGGUAACUAGUCCAGUGAUGAGCAAAGAUGGCUGCAGUACUGCUCUUGCUAUUAUCGCUCGUACUCGAGGUAGAGGGGUGUAUCAACACCCCUCUUCUCUAUGCAUGCAAUGUGAACAGAGAUGACACGACUCUUGACGUUUUUUAUUGCACUAUGAAUGAGGAAUGGUUGGCCCGGGGGGUCAACACGACGUUCACGUUGUGUUGUGGUCCGGCGCCCCCGGAUCAACCAUACAUCAUCAUCACCCAUUGGCAAGCUGGCGACCGUCUCCUGGGGGAAUGCAUACAUUACUUCCCCCACAUCAAGAUCUACCCCCAGGUGGAUUGUGACAUGGUGGAGGGGUUGGUGGAUAAUUGUAUCCAUGAGGAGACCCCCACCACGGUCCAUGAGGAGACCCCCACCACGGUCCAUGAGGAGACCCCCACCACGGUCCAUGAGGAGACCUCCACCACGGUCCAUGAGGAGACCUCCACCACCGUCCAUGAGGAGACCCCCACCACCGUCCAUGAGGAGACCCCCACCACGGUCCAUGAGGAGACCUCCACCACGGUCCAUGAGGAGACCUCCACCACCGUCCAUGAGGAGACCCCCACCACCGUCCAUGAGGAGACCUCCACCACGGUCCAUGAGGAGACCCCCACCACCGUCCAUGAGGAGACCCUCACCACCGUCCAUGAGGAGACCCCCACCACGGUCCAUGAGGAGACCCCCACCACGGUCCAUGAGGAGACCCCCACCACCGUCCAUGAGGAGACCCCCACCACGGUCCAUGAGGAGACCCCCACCACCGUCCAUGAGGAGACCUCCACCACCGUCCAUGAGGAGACCUCCACCACCGUCCAUGAGGAGACCCCCACCACCGUCCAUGAGGAGACCUCCACCACGGUCCAUGAGGAGACCUCCACCACGACCGCGGUGAAGGUGCUGUUGGUUUUGGCAGUACUACUACCAUUGAUGUUUAUUUUAGUCUUCCUGCUGAUUAGGCGAAGGGCUUACAGGGGUCACAAGCCCUAUAGGAUGAGGGAAGAAGGAGACAUCUUCAGCAUUGAAGAUCAAUCUGAUACAAUCGAAAUGAACAGACUGGACCCCCCCUCCCUCUGACCAUUAUGAAGAUUCAGAUGAGACCAUUCCGAAGAUGGUGGAGUCAUCAAUUGAUGUUUCACAGAUUGACUUGCCGCCCUCCUCCUCCUCCUCCUCCUCCUCCUCCUCAACUGACACACACACAGUUGUGGAGGUGGAGCCCAUCUGGCUGAGAAGUGGGAGGAGGAAGCAUUAAGGAGAAGGAAGACGACAAAAGAAUUUGGAUUUUCUGAUUGUGUGCAUGUGUGUGUGUGUGUGUGUGUGUGUGUGUGUGAAGGUGAUUUAUGUGUAUACAUAUAUAUAAUAAGCUUUUCUGUGAUGUCUUUUAAUGUGGUAAUUCAUUUUAGGUGGGUGUAUGAGAGUGUAUGUAUGUGAGUGUAUAAGGAUGUGUGGGAGGGUGUGUAUGAAGGUAAGAGUCUGUGCCUUUUAAUUUACACCAAUGAUUUUUAUACCAAUGUUUAAUUAUAUCUUAUUGUGAUUUUUUUUAUACCAAUGUUUAAUUAUCUAUCUAAUUGUGAUUUUUAUACCAAUGUUUAAUUAUAUAUUUUGUUGUGAUUGAUACUUAUUCUAAUUCUCAGGGAGAACAUGUGUGUCCAUUUUAGUUACGUGUACCAAAUAAAUGUUUUGAUUCGUAAUCUAUGUUUUCUUGUUCUUAAUGUUUACUCAACAGUCGAGAUUUGUAUAUGUAGAUUCAUUGAUAUAUUUUACAUACCUUGUGAAGAGUGAACGUUAUCAGUUUCCCUCAUUGGGAAACAUGUGUUGGAUUUGGAUGACGCUAGUCUUCAUACCUCGGAAGUAAAUCAGUGUUUUGAACGGCGCCAUGUUUACGUGUAGAACAUGUGGGAUGCGGUUAACGUCCUUGACAUUGACUUCACGGUGUAUUGGUUUUGGACGAUGCCACUCUACAUACCUCGGGAGGGGGAUCUGUGUUUUUGGACGAUGUUAUGUUUAUGUGGUAUGACUCGUACUGCUUCUCAAAAUAGACUGUCUAUUUCAUAACAAGAUCUAGAUUCCUUUAUGUAUUUUACAUACCUCGCGAAAAGUGAAUGUAAUCGGUUUCCCUCUGUAACGUCUCGGACGACACCAUCCGUGUUUUGGACGACGCCAUGUUAACGUCCUUAAUACUGACUUCACGGUGUAUUGCUUUUGGACGAUGCCACUCUACAUACCUCAGGAGGGGAAUCGGGGUACAUGUAUGGUUCAACGCUCUCUCGGAUAGGCACUUGUGUGCUUUCUCAAAAUAGACUGUCGAUUUCAUAACAAGACCAGGACAUUACUUUGAAAACGUGGGGCACUUUAUUAUACAUUUUACUGUGCAUAGUCUAGUGAUACCCGUUUACACAGGUUAAAUAAAAGUUGAAGAAGGUCUCUCAGCAAAAUGCUAAGUACGUUUAUACAGCAUAGCAGUUUCAACUUCCAAUUUCUUAUUUAUAAACAUGCCUCCCCAUCAUGUAUUCAAUCAUUUAAAUAUUAUUGGUUAACAUUAU